AACGGAUGAUUAUAAGCGUGUGAAACAGUUCGGAAUUGCUAUCAACUCAGGUGGGUUCCCUUAAGUUCAAUUUCACCUUAAUAGAGUAGUUCAUAGUUUUCCCCAAAUAUUAAACUAUGCAUGACAACUUAAGUUUGGUUAUGUUUAGGAUUAAAUUAGGAUAACUCAUUAACUGAUCAAUUAACCACUUAAAUAAGCCUUGCAUGUUUAAUUGACUGUAAUAUGUGGAAUUUAGUACGAAGUAUAAUUAUAUAAGCUGAAUUGGACAUAAACACUAUGUUGAGUUAUGCAGGAUUCCGUGGUUGAAUCGGCUCAACCAGAGCUUGCAUUGAUCCAUAAGUUUCCUUGUGAAGCAAAAAUGUGUUUUAUGCGCCUCAUGAGCCGGUUCAUGCCUUGAAUGAGCCUAUGCAUAAGCGCAUAAUGUAUUUUAUUAAAAUCUGGGAAAUGUUGCAUCGGUACAAACAUUGUGUGAACCGGCUUAAGCAUGGCCUGGGUAAGUUUGAAUUGGUACAAGGCAAACUUGUGUCGAUGCAUAUAAGUCAAAUAUCUUGCUUUCUUAAAAACUGGAUUAUAUGCAUCGGUACAUAGAACCCUUGAACCGGUGCAAACAAAAUAAUUUACUAAAAACCUUUUGGCUUAUAUAUAGGAGGUAUAAUAACCGUUUUAUUUCAAAUGAAAAUCCUCCAUUAUGAACAUUAUUUUAUAAAAACUAUAAGUGACUAUAAUUCUACGAUUACGGACUUUCAUACAUGUAUUAAAAUCAAUUAGACAAUUGAAUCAGGAUAUUCAGGAUUGUUAGGAAUACCCCCGGAAGGUUUUCUUUUCUUUGGGUAGGAUAACCAUUCAAGAUUAUGAACAUUAGUUACCAUGUCAUGAGAAUCAUUUCAGAAUCCGAGAAAUUUAAUAAGAACUGCAAACUGACGUGGAACCCGACGUAUAUUAUUAUCGGUAGGACGAGGACUAGGCACUCCGGGACCUGCUUGCCUCGAAGUGACCCUAUGCGGAUAAAAUUGACAAGA
rnacentral:lncRNA from 1 species